rnacentral:rRNA from 1 species
AAAAACAUCGUCUUUUGUCAAACCCACAUAAAAGAUAAUGCCUGCCCAGUGAAAGCUUUAAACGGCCGCGUUAGCGUGAGCGUGCUAAGGUAGCGUAAUAAAUAGCCUCUCAAUUGGAGGCCAGUGAAUGGCAAGACUAGGGACACCUGUACCCUGUAUAGAAAAACAAUUUUUCAUUUGGGUUAAAAGACCCAAAUAAUAAAGGAAGACGAAAAGACCCCGCGGAACUUUACCUUUUCCAGCCUCUACAUGCUCAGAAACACAAGAACAAAAGGUUUGAUUGGGGCAAUCUCGGAACCACCCAAACUUCCGAUUUAUAAUAUAAGAAUAUACAAAACUCAAUAAGGACCAAAAAGAAGUUACCCCGGGGAUAACAGCGUAAUCCAACUUGAGAGUACACAUCGAAAGCUGGGUUUGCGACCUCGAUGUUGGCUUAAGGAUAUCCACAUAA